rnacentral:rRNA from 1 species
UUUUAAAGCUGGCGUCUUCGACGCCCGCGUUGUAAUUUGGAGAGGCAUCUUCGGUUUGGGCGCCAGCCUAUGUUCCUUGGAACAGGACGUCACAGAGGGUGAGAAUCCCGUGCUUGGCUGGCUGUCCCUUGCCAUGUGAAGUGCCUUCGACGAGUCGAGUUGUUUGGGAAUGCAGCUCAAAAUGGGUGGUAAAUUCCAUCUAAAGCUAAAUAUUGGCGGGAGACCGAUAGCGCACAAGUAGAGUGAUCGAAAGAUGAAAAGCACUUUGAAAAUAGAGUUAAAAAGUACGUGAAAUUGUUGAAAGGGAAGCGCUUGAGACCAGACUCGGCCGGAGAUGAUCAGCCGUCCUUCUGGGCGGUGCACUUGUCUCCGGUCGGGCCAGCAUCGGUUGAGACGGCGGGAUAAAGGCCCGGGGAAUGUGGCUCCUUUCGGGGAGUGUUAUAGCCCCGGACGCAAUGCCGCCAGCCUCGACCGAGGACCGCGCUUUUUGCUAGGAUGCUGGCGUAAUGGUCUUCAGCGACCCGUCUUGAAACACGGACCAAGGAGUCUAACAUCUAUGCGAGUGUUUGGGUGUCAAACCCUUGCGCGUAAUGAAAGUGAACGGAGGUGGGAACCCCCUCGCGGGGCGCACCAUCGACCGGUCCUGAUGUCUUCGGAUGGAUCUGAGUAGGAGCAUAGCUGUUGGGACCCGAAAGAUGGUGAACUAUGCCUGAAUAGGGUGAAGCCAGAGGAAACUCUGGUGGAGGCUCGCAGCGGUUCUGACGUGCAAAUCGAUCGUCAAAUUUGGG